ACGGAGGGUGCAGGCGUUAUCCGGAUUCACUGGGUUUAAAGGGUGCGUAGGCGGGUAUGUAAGUCAGUGGUGGAAUCCCCGAGCUUAACUCGGGAACUGCCAUUGAUACUAUAUAUCUUGAAUGUUCUGGAGGUAUGCGGAAUAUGUCAUGUAGCGGUGAAAUGCUUAGAGAUGACAUAGAACACCUAUUGCGAAGGCAGCAUACUACGGAAAUAUUGACGCUGAGGCACGAAAGUGUGGGGAUCAAACAGGA
rnacentral:rRNA from 1 species